AGUGAACGCUGGCGGUAGGCCUAACACAUGCAAGUCGAACGGCAGCACAGUAAGAGCUUGCUCUUACGGGUGGCGAGUGGCGGACGGGUGAGGAAUACAUCGGAAUCUACUUUUUCGUGGGGGAUAACGUAGGGAAACUUACGCUAAUACCGCAUACGACCUACGGGUGAAAGCAGGGGAUCUUCGGACCUUGCGCGAUUGAAUGAGCCGAUGUCGGAUUAGCUAGUUGGCGGGGUAAAGGCCCACCAAGGCGACGAUCCGUAGCUGGUCUGAGAGGAUGCCAGACCACAUGGGAACUGAGACAGGGCCGGGCCUCAGGCGGGUGGAGAGGGGGGGGAUGGUGGGAGAAUGGCGGCAGGUUGACCCCACCAUUAGCGGGUGGGUAAAAACGCCCUCGGGUUUUAAAGCCCUUUUGUUGGGAAAAAAAAAGAGGCAGGUUAAUCCCCCGGUUUUCGAGGGGACCCAAAAAGAAAGCCACGGUCAAGCUUGGGC
rnacentral:rRNA from 1 species